UUAGGUGGGGUUAGGUUUGGUAAUAUUAGGUGAGGUUAGGUAGGGUUAGGUUUGGUAAUAUUAGGUGAGGUUAGGUAGGGUUAGGUUUGGUAAUAUUAGGUGAGGUUAGGUAGGGUUAGGUUUGGUAAUAUUAGGUGAGGUUAGGUAGGGUUAGGUUUGGUAAUAUUAGGUGAGGUUAGGUAGGGUUAGGUUUGGUAAUAUUAGGUGAGGUUAGGUAGGGUUAGGUUUGGUAAUAUUAGGUGAGGUUAGGUAGGGUUAGGUUUAGUAAUAUUAGGUGAGGUUAGGUAGGGUUAGGUUUGGUAAUAUUAGGUGAGGUUAGGUGGGGUUAGGUUUGGUAAUAUUAGGUGAGGUUAGGUAGGGUUAGGUUUGGUAAUAUUAGGUGAGGUUAGGUAGGGUUAGGUUUGGUAAUAUUAGGUGAGGUUAGGUGGAGUUAGG